AACGAACGCUGGCGGCAGGCUUAACACAUGCAAGUCGAACGGGUGUAGCAAUACAUCAGUGGCAGACGGGUGAGUAACACGUGGGAACCUUCCUAGAGGUACGGAACAACUCAGGGAAACUUGAGCUAAUACCGUAUACGCUCUUGCGAGGAAAGAUUUAUCGCCUUUAGACGGGCCCGCGUCGGAUUAGCUAGUUGGUGGGGUAACGGCCUACCAAGGCGACGAUCCGUAGCUGAUCUGAGAGGAUGAUCAGCCACACUGGGACUGAGACACGGCCCAGACUCCUACGGGAGGCAGCAGUGGGGAAUCUUGGACACUGGGCGCAAGCCUGAUCCAGCCAUGCCGCGUGAGUGAAGAAGGCCUUCGGGUUGUAAAGCUCUUUUGUCAGGGACGAUAAUGACGGUACCUGAAGAAUAAGCCCCGGCAAACUUCGUGCCAGCCGCCGCGGUAACAC
rnacentral:rRNA from 1 species